UGCAUAUCAAAAGCGGAGGAAAAGAAACCAACAGGGAUUGCCUCAGUAACGGCGAGUGAAGCGGCAAAAGCUCAAAUUUUAAAGCUGGCAUCUUCGGUGUCCGCGUUGUAAUUUUGUGAGGCAUCUCCGGGUAGGGCGCCGGCCUAAGUUCCUUGGAACAGGACGUCACAGAGGGUGAGAAUCCCGUGCUUGGCUGGCUGUCCCCGUCCAUGUGAGGUGUCUUCGACGAGUCGAGUUGUUUGGGAAUGCAGCUCAAAAUGGGUGGUAAAUUUCAUCUAAAGCUAAAUAUUGGUGGGAGACCGAUAGCGCACAAGUAGAGUGAUCGAAAGAUGAAAAGCACUUUGAAAAUAGAGUUAAAAAGUACGUGAAAUUGUUGAAAGGGAAGCGCUUGAGAUCAGACUUCGGUAGGGGGUGAUCAGCCGUCCUUCUGGGCGGUGCACUUGCCCCUCUCCGGGCCAGCAUCGGUUGAGGCGGCGGGAUAAAGGUCCCGGGAAUGUGGCUCCUUCGCGGGAGUGUUAUAGCCCGGGUGAAUGCCGCCAGUCUCGACCGAGGACCGCACCCGCAAGGGUUAGGAUGCUUGGCAUAAUGGUCUUCAGCGACCCGUCUG
rnacentral:rRNA from 1 species